rnacentral:rRNA from 1 species
ACGUAGGGGGCAAGCGUUGUUCGGAAUUAUUGGGCGUAAAGGGUUCGUAGGAGGUUUAUUAAGUCUCGUGUGAAAUCCCAAGGCUCAACUUUGGAACUGCAUUGGUUACUGAUGAACUAGAGUAUAGUAGAGGAAAGCGGAAUUCCAGGUGUAGCGGUGGAAUGCGUAGAUAUCUGGAAGAACACCGACAGCGAAGGCAGCUUUCUGGGCGAUAACUGACUCUGAGGAACGAAAGCAUGGGGAGCAAACAG